GGGGAAUAUUGCACAAUGGGCGCAAGCCUGAUGCAGCCAUGCCGCGUGUGUGAAGAAGGCCUUAGGGUUGUAAAGCACUUUCAGCGAGGAGGAAGGCAUCACACUUAAUACGUGUGGUGAUUGACGUUACUCGCAGAAGAAGCACCGGCUAACUCCGUGCCAGCAGCCGCGGUAAUACGGAGGGUGCAAGCGUUAAUCGGAAUUACUGGGCGUAAAGCGCACGCAGGCGGUUUGUUAAGUCAGAUGUGAAAUCCCCGCGCUUAACGUGGGAACUGCAUUUGAAACUGGCAAGCUAGAGUCUUGUAGAGGGGGGUAGAAUUCCAGGUGUAGCGGUGAAAUGCGUAGAGAUCUGGAGGAAUACCGGUGGCGAAGGCGGCCCCCUGGANAAAGACUGACGCUCAGGUGCGAAAGCGUGGGGAGCAAAACAGGAUUAGAGUACCCUGGUAG
rnacentral:rRNA from 1 species